GGCGGCGUUUCACCACAGAACUGUGUUAGCACCCCAGAGCUCCCUGGGUUAGUGAGGUUCCUGCAAUUCUCUGUGAGGGUUGGCUGCUUCUUCCUAAUCUUCUACUUGUUCUGUGAUUUGGCGAUUUUACUCGUUGGCGAUGGAGGAAAACUCGAAGUUGCCAUUGCCAGAAGCGUUCCUCAAUUUCCUUAAAGUGAAUGGAAUUGACCCUUCGAUUUAUACGGCGAGCGAUACUGUACCUCGUUACAUAAGGUUGAAACCUGGGAAUGAAGCUUUUAUAGGAGAAAUUGAAGCCGAGAUCAAGUGUAAGCUUGAAAAAGUUGAUUGGUUGGCUGGUUUUCAUUCUCUUCCUCCUGAUAUUCAGAUUGCUAACUCUACAGCAUACCAGCAAGGACAGAUUUAUGGAAUUGAUGCUGCUUCUGGAGCUGCUGUUUCUGCUUUGGAUAUCUCACAAGGAGAUCAUGUCCUUGAUCUGUGCGCUGCUCCUGGGGCUAAACUUUGUAUGAUACUGGAUCUUCUUGGUGAUUCGGGUUCUGUAACUGGUGUUGAUAUUGCAAGACACCGGUUAGCAGCCACUAGAACUAUGCUGCAGAAGUAUGGGCUUGGUGAGCGGUGCCGACUUUUUGUUGCUGACGGAACCAUGUUUUCUCUUGUCCCUGUUAACUUACAAUCACCGCUGAUAUCAUGUAAAUGUCAUCAACCCAUUGAAUCUGCUUCAGAGGAUAAGAACAAUAUAUUUGUGGAAUGGACUUCAAGGAGACCGUGGAAAGAAAGGAAAAAAGCAGCUAAAUUGAGGAAAAAUAUGGCUUCAAAAUCGGUUACAGCAAAUAAACAUCCUGAACUCAUUUUUUAUGGGCAGCAUUCUGGAGUAGUGGGCCUCAGAAAAAGUGAACUAUUUGAUGCUGUUUAUAGCACUGAAAUUUCGCAUCGUGGCUAUGACAAGGUCCUGGUGGACGCAGAGUGCACCCAUGAUGGGUCAAUUAGACAUAUCCAAAAAUUUGAGCACUGGGGUUGGACAACUCUCCAACGUCGUGUAUUGGAUGCAGAGAGAACUGACAGAAGCUUAACCACUCUUCAGUUGAAACUCCUAACAAAUGGUUUCAGAUUGCUUAGACCUGGUGGGUCACUUGUGUACAGCACUUGCAGUCUUACAGUUGCUCAGAAUGAAGAUGUGGUAGAGCAGUUUCUCAAAGGAAAUCCUUCUGCAGAGUUGCAGGACAUAGAUGCAGCGAAAGAUUGGCCUUGUAAGAAAGGGAAGAUACCAAAGACAUGGCGGUUUGAUCCCCUAACAUCACAAACUAGCGGACUUUUUGUAGCAAAAUUCAGAAAAUUGCCAGUUGAACCAAGUCCUCCGUGAUGGUGUAUGCGAAGACCCAUCUAUUCCAGCCACUUGACACUAGAGAUCCCAUCAGACAUUUAACAUCAUUCAAAUCUUAGCAGUUGUCCUAAAGAUGAUCGCCACUGCUGCAUGUGAUGAUAUAACAGCUCCUCUUGUUCACAACUCGGGUGCAGCAUCUGGUUCGAGCACGCCAUCACAGUGAGUUCAAGAUGACUUGCCGGUUGAGCAAGUGGCACUUACGGUGCCCGCCACAAACAAUCCCCCUCCCUUCCAUCCCUCACAUUCCGCACAUGAGCUCUGGGAAAUUUGGCCUACGUCCUCCUCUCAUUCCUCAAUUAGUUCUUCUGGUCUCGAAGGGCCCCUCAUUGUGUCGUCGAUAAUGGCGCAUAUUGCGAUGGUUCCCAGGAUCACAUGGUGGAUUCGCUGAUCAGCGAGAGGGUGUUCUUCGAGGGGUUGAGGUGGGAGUUCACGCUUAAUCCGGAACUUUUUAACAUGAUGGAGCCCGUGCUGAUCGCGAUAUUGGUGGAUACCGGCGCCGGGAACGUGUACGCCAUCACAUCAUCAGUACCGUCAAGAUAUUAUAUAGAAAGCGGCUGACUUUCCCGGCGGCAUUGCUCGUCUUCAUAAAUCAAACAGUUCUUUUUUUGUUUCCGGUGCAGCUUCUAGCCCGUUGCUAUAUGGGCUUGGGGCCCGAAAUGUCCGCCGCCGCCGGUGAUGAUGUCGCCGCUCCUCUCUGUAAGAUUUUCGUUUUCUCCUUUUUUUUGGUUCUUUCCA